rnacentral:rRNA from 1 species
ACCCUUUAAUGUUUGAUGUUCUAACGUGGACCCGUAAUCCGGGUUGCGGACAGUGUCUGGUGGGUAGUUUGACUGGGGCGGUCUCCUCCCAAAGAGUAACGGAGGAGCACGAAGGUUGGCUAAUCCUGGUCGGACAUCAGGAGGUUAGUGCAAUGGCAUAAGCCAGCUUGACUGCGAGCGUGACGGCGCGAGCAGGUGCGAAAGCAGGUCAUAGUGAUCCGGUGGUUCUGAAUGGAAGGGCCAUCGCUCAACGGAUAAAAGGUACUCCGGGGAUAACAGGCUGAUACCGCCCAAGAGUUCAUAUCGACGGCGGUGUUUGGCACCUCGAUGUCGGCUCAUCACAUCCUGGGGCUGAAGUAGGUCCCAAGGGUAUGGCUGUUCGCCAUUUAAAGUGGUACGCGAGCUGGGUUUAGAACGUCGUGAGACAGUUCGGUCCCUAUCUGCCGUGGGCGCUGGAGAACUGAGGGGGGCUGCUCCUAGUACGAGAGGACCGGAGUGGACGCAUCACUGGUGUUCGGGUUGUCAUGCCAAUGGCACUGCCCGGUAGCUAAAUGCGGAAGAGAUAAGUGCUGAAAGCAUCUAAGCACGAAACUUGCCCCGAGAUGAGUUCUCCCUG